rnacentral:rRNA from 1 species
GCUCAGGACGAACGCUGGCGGCGUGCUUAACACAUGCAAGUCGAGCGGUAAGGCCUUUCGGGGUACACGAGCGGCGAACGGGUGAGUAACACGUGGGUGAUCUGCCCUGCACUCUGGGAUAAGCCCGGGAAACUGGGUCUAAUACCGGAUAUGACUGCAUGCCGCAUGGUGUGUGGUGGAAAGCUUUAUGUGGUGCAGGAUGGGCCCGCGGCCUAUCAGCUUGUUGGUGGGGUAAUGGCCUACCAAGGCGACGACGGGUAGCCGACCUGAGAGGGUGACCGGCCACACUGGGACUGAGACACGGCCCAGACUCCUACGGGAGGCAGCAGUGGGGAAUAUUGCACAAUGGGCGGAAGCCUGAUGCAGCGACGCCGCGUGAGGGAUGAAGGCCUUCGGGUUGUAAACCUCUUUCAGCAGGGACGAAGCGUGAGUGACGGUACCUGCAGAAGAAGCACCGGCUAACUACGUGCCAGCAGCCGCGGUAAUACGUAGGGUGCGAGCGUUGUCCGGAAUUACUGGGCGUAAAGAGUUCGUAGGCGGUUUGUCGCGUCGUUUGUGAAAACCCGGGGCUCAACUUCGGGCUUGCAGGCGAUACGGGCAGACUUGAGUGUUUCAGGGGAGACUGGAAUUCCUGGUGUAGCGGUGAAAUGCGCAGAUAUCAGGAGGAACACCGGUGGCGAAGGCGGGUCUCUGGGAAACAACUGACGCUGAG